UGUGAUAACAAUUCCAUUGGUAUACAUCUGGAAAAAUAUACCUAAAUAUGACAAAAUUAUUACAGAUUAUAUCAUUCAAAUAUGACCAGAAGCUGGCUCUGUGGUUUUAGAGCUUACCUGCUAAUAUUUUAGUUGGGUUUUGUACUGUAUUAAAAAAGAAGAAUGUUGGUUUUAUCAUAGUAGUCAUUCCGUGUACUAAAAUUUCUGUGAAGAUGACUAAUGUCAUCUAAUGCAGGCUGUAAUAAAGUCCAAGUAAAUAACACAAUUUGUUUUUUGGCUCCAACAUGAAUGUGCCAGCUUCUUUUUCUCUUUUCCUCCAGACUAAAGGUUCGUCCUUUUUUUUUUCUUUUUUGCUGUCCUGAUUAUUACACCCUGGUGUCCAAGAGGUAGGACUGUGCUAGGGGUAACAACACCAUCUAUUAAGCUCAUAGCAUGUUAACAGACCACCCCAGGGCUCCUGGGUUUUCCUGAUGCCCACCUCGGGUUGUCCUACCACAGUGUCCUUUGGUUCUCUGCAGCCUUAGGGAGCGCUCUCUUGCUGGAGACCUGGGGGUGGAAAAGCUUCUCAUUAAGAAUAAAGUUCUGCCAUCUGUCACCAGCCUCAUGUAAACAGCUGAACCAAAACGUCUUGGCUUCCCCGGACCCUGAGUGCUUCCAACAAAAGUCAGUGCUCCAGCUCUGAUCCCUCAGAUGAAACCCUGGCCCUGCAGAAGCCAUCAGGAGUGUCCCCACGCUGGAAUCUGAUUUCUGAAAGUUUUAAGUCCUCGCAGUCCCAGCUGGAGACAAUGGGUGCUGUGGGUGGUUAGCCUUUCUCCCGAAUGCUGUUCUGCAUCUCCUGUGUUGGGCACUUCAUCACUGAAGAACUAUGGUGCUUUUGUUAUGAAUUCUGCUCCUAGGAGGAAAUUGUCACCCAGAAAAUGAAUAUAAUAAUACCCCUCUGCCUAACAAUGAUACUAUAAAGAAAAACAUAAUUCAUACAUUUUUCCGAGACAUCCAGGUACUGUGGCAGUAGAAGUCACCAAAAAAAAAAAAAAAGACUAUGAGGAAAAGGAUAAUUCUGUGCUAAGAAUACUGUACAGCAAAUUAGGCCUAGGGCCAUGAUAUAACUAAUGAGGAGAAACUGAAAUCCUGAAUAGCUGCCUCAUUCACCAAGCUCUAUUCAUCCAGGUUGCUACUGGAGGCAAGCAACCUACAGUAAAAAUAGCAGGCAGUAAUUUGAGUAUUAAGUAACUUCAUUAAUGAUUACUUCGUAAGGCAUGUAUACAAUGAAGACAAAUAAAGAUAGGCUAAGUUCAACA
rnacentral:lncRNA from 1 species